rnacentral:rRNA from 1 species
GACGAACGCUGGCGGCGUGCUUAACACAUGCGAGUCGAACGGAAAGGCCCUGCUUUUGUGGGGUGCUCGAGUGGCGAACGGGUGAGUAACACGUGAGUAACCUGCCCUUGACUUUGGGAUAACUUCAGGAAACUGGGGCUAAUACCGGAUAGGAGCUCCUGCUGCAUGGUGGGGGUUGGAAAGUUUCGGCGGUUGGGGAUGGACUCGCGGCUUAUCAGCUUGUUGGUGGGGUAGUGGCUUACCAAGGCUUCGACGGGUAGCCGGCCUGAGAGGGUGACCGGCCACAUUGGGACUGAGAUACGGCCCAGACUCCUACGGGAGGCAGCAGUGGGGAAUAUUGCACAAUGGGCGGAAGCCUGAUGCAGCAACGCCGCGUGCGGGAUGACGGCCUUCGGGUUGUAAACCGCUUUCGCCUGUGACGAAGCGUGAGUGACGGUAAUGGGUAAAGAAGCACCGGCUAACUACGUG